rnacentral:rRNA from 1 species
CGAACGGGUGAGUAACGCGUUGGUGACCUGCCCCGAAGAGGGGGAUAACAGUUCGAAAGGACUGCUAAUACCCCAUGAGCUCACGAGAGUUAGAGGUCUUGUGAGGAAAUGGAGAAAUCCGCUUUGGGAGGGGCCUGCGUCCCAUCAGCUAGUUGGUAGGGUAAAAGCCUACCAAGGCGAUGACGGGUAGGGGACCUGAGAGGGUGGCCCCCCACAAUGGAACUGAAACACGGUCCAUACACCUACGGGUGGCAGCAGUAGGGAAUAUUGCUUAAUGGACGAAAGUCUGAAGCAGCAACGCCGCGUGUGCGAUGAAGGCCUUCGGGUUGUAAAGCACUUUUUGUAGGGAUGAGGAAGGACAGUACCUGCAGAAUAAGCCUCGGCUAACUACGUGCCAGCAGCCGCGGUAAAACGUAGGAGGCGAGCGUUAUCCGGAUUUACUGGGCGUAAAGCGCGUGUAGGCGGAUUACUAAGUUGGCUGUGAAAGCUCCUGGCUUAACUAGGAGAGGUCGGUCAAUACUGGUAGUCUAGAGUAUGUGAGAGGGAGGUGGAAUUCCGGGUGUAGUGGUGAAAUGCGUAGAUAUCCGGAGGAACACCAGAGGCGAAAGCGGCCUCCUGGCACAUUACUGACGCUCAGACGCGAAAGCUAGGGGAGCGAACGGGAUUAGAGACCCCGGUAGUCCUAGCUGUAAACGAUGUAGACUUGGCGUUGGUGGGGUCAAACCCAUCAGUGCCGGAGCUAACGCAUUAAGUCGACCGCCUGGGGACUACGGCC